GCCCCGUUCGUCUAGCGGCCUAGGACGUCGCCCUCUCACGGCGGUAACACCGGUUCAAAUCCGGUACGGGGUA
rfam:Actinobaculum massiliae ACS-171-V-Col2 genomic scaffold supercont1.2, whole genome shotgun sequence.